AUAAGCGGAGGAAAGAACUAACAAGGAUUCCCUUAGUAACUGCGAGUGAAGYGGGAAAAGCUCAAAUUUGAAAUCUGGCAGUCUUUUUUUCUCUUCUUUGGCUGUCUGAGUUGUAAUCUAGAGAAGUGCUUACCUGUGCUGGACCAUGUAUAAGUCUCCUGGAAUGGAGCGUCACAGAGGGUGAGAAUCCCGUCUUUGACAUGGACUGCCAGUAUGUUGUGGKGUGCUCUCAAAGAGUCGAGUUGUUUGGGAAUGCAGCUCUAAAUGGGUGGUAAACUCCAUCUAAAGCUAAAUAUUGGCGAGAGACCGAUAGCGAACAAGUACCGUGAGGGAAAGAUGAAAAGGACUUUGGAAAGAGAGUUAAACAGUAUGUGAAAUUGUUGAAAGGGAAACGCUUGAAGUCAGUUAUGUUGGCUGGGGAUCAGCCUGGCUUUUUGCUGGGUGAACUUCCUAGUCUGACAGGCCAACAUCAGUUCUGACUGCUGGAAAAGAGCAGAGGGAAUGUAGCACCUUUGGGUGUGUUAUAGCCUUUUGUCAUAUGUGGCAGUUGGGACUGAGGGAUGCAGCGUGCCAGGAAUGGCUGGGUUUCGACCACAAUUGCGCUUAGGAUGUUGGCUUUUUUUAAUGGCUUCAAUCGACCCGUCUUGAAACACGGA
rnacentral:rRNA from 1 species